AACGAACGCUGGCGGCGUGGAUAAGACAUGCAAGUCGAACGCUUAUCUUUGUGUAGUAAUACAUGAAGGUAGGAGUGGCGCAAGGGUGCGUAACACGUGGGUAAUUUGCCGCGAAGUCCGGGAUAACUUGCUGAAAGGCGAGCUAAUACCGGAUGUGGAAAUUGGAAGGCAUCUUUUGAUUUCUGAAGCUGGGGACCUGUAAGGGCCUGGCGCUUUGCGAUAAGCCCGCGGCCUAUCAGCUAGUUGGUGAGGUAACGGCUCACCAAGGCUAAGACGGGUAGCUGGUCUGAGAGGACGACCAGCCACACUGGAACUGAGACACGGUCCAGACACCUACGGGUGGCAGCAGUCGAGAAUUUUUCUCAAUGGGCGCAAGCCUGAAGGAGCGACGCCGCGUGUGGGAUGAAGGGUUUCGAUCCGUAAACCACUGUCAUUUGCGAACAAACCCUGGAGUUUAAGAGAUGCCAGGCUGAUUGUAGCG
rnacentral:rRNA from 1 species